GUGCGGUUAGCGUAUUAACAGGUGUGACGCAGGAAGGUAGCCCAAGCCAGGCGAUGGUUGUCCUGGUGCAAGUGCGUAGGCCGAGUCGUAGGCAAAUCCGCGAUUCAUUGAGGCUGAGACACGAUGCGGAUAAAAAGUGGGUGAUCCUAUGCUGCCAAGAAAAGCAUCGACGCGAGGUUCUAGCCGCCCGUACCCCAAACCGACUCAGGUGGUCAGGUAGAGAAUACCAAGGAGAUCGAGA
rnacentral:rRNA from 1 species